AAAGAUGUUCAAAAAGAUGUUACUAAAUGUCUCUGUCUUUAAGGAUACUCUCUUAAGUGUUAUUCGUGCACAUCUACUGCGAAGGAUUCCUGUGAAGCAGAAGUGCAGACAUGUCCACAUGGAUAUUCCAAAUGUUCAACUGCUACUGAUUCCACCGUGACAGCUAAAGGGUGUGCACUUUUCUGUUACCCUGGGACCGGUCGGGUACAGACUGGAGAGAGAUUAUCUAUCCAGUGCUGUGACACUGACCUCUGCAAUGCAGCUGAUGGAGUGUACAAGGGAAGCUUCCACCUGCUGUUUUCUCCUCUCCUCUUCUACUUCCUGUUUCAGUGAGUCCAGUUGCACUUCAUAAUCUACAGCUGGGGCAAAGACCACCACAAAAACAGAAUGAUACAUAUUUU